rnacentral:lncRNA from 1 species
AAAACAUCCUCCCACCUCAGCCUCCCAAGUAGCUGGGAAUACAGGAGAGGAAGAAACAAGGCACAGGGGAGCUUGAGUACCUGGGACUGGCCUGUGAUGAAGCUGGGAUCUCACUGCAGUUAGAUGUGCUGGGGAUUAAACUGUGCCUGGGAAUUUGCAUUCCAGAAGAGAAGGAUAUUGAACUAGAAGGAUAGGUUUGCAAGUGAAUACUGUAUUAAGAUGUGAAUUUGUGGGUGGCAGUGCUCUUGUAUUUGUCCCUGUUUUCAUCUCCAGCCAGGUGGCUAAACCCGUUGCAUAUUCCUGCCCCUGGGAUUGUUUGUUGGGUUGGAGGGUGGGUGGGAGCAGAAGCUGGGGUCUCUGGCAGGAGUCAAAGGGAGUGGUAACAUUUCAGAGGGGAUGAGGUUUUGGUUUAGGAGAUCACAGCAUUCCCAGAGGUAUCAUGCUUCAAACGCAGUGGAGCUUCCACAUCUGAAGGGACAGCGAGGCCAGGCAGCAGCCCAGGGAGUGCCUGGCAACCCCUGGGGUAUUUGUGUGGGGAACCAGUAAUUACUGAGACGGAAUUUCUCAGCACCCUGAGGAAUGAGCUUCUGAGGCAGAAACAAAUUCAAUCAAUCAAUCAAUCAAUCAAUCAAUCAAUCAGUGAAUAUUUCUUGUGUCCCUGGAUUGGUGGGCUUCAAUUCACAUCCACCCACCACAUUUGGUCCAUCUCUGGAAUGGCAAAGAAUAUUUACAUCACACACAACUGCACCCCAUGGUCUGAUGAUGACGCCCAUUGGAGAUUUGCUGAGCAGAAAUAAGGCUCUCAGAAGCCGCUGUUGGGAAGGGGAUGAAGACGAAGCUGAGUUUGAAGAGCAGCCUGAAUGCUCUCACCCACUGGUCAGAUGUGAGGGUCACCAGAAUGGAGAGGAGGUAAAUCACUUAUUCCACAGUGUUGAGAUUCUUCCGUCUUUCUUUCUUUCUUUUUUUUUUUUUUUCUUAUUUCCCAGGCAAAAUACCCUAUGACUGAGAGAGAAGAACCUGAAUCCUGGCAUUCAAGAAUAUUCCUACAGUGGCCCAGCCUGGUCAUGCCAUGUAAGGCCUAGGCCAAUGCAUUGCCCCACCUGUGGGGAAGGCUGUUUUGUCAUGGUGGAAAUGAACCCACUGGAAACAAUGGGUGUUUUGGGGAGAAUGAAGCUCCCACUUGGCCCCAGUAGAAGAGCAUUCGAGUCUUGCUGGGGCCCAUUUCUGAGAUGCACCAGAAGUUAAUCAACUUUUUAGUGUCAGAAGACGCUUAUUUGAUCCCUGGGGCCCAUUUUUGAGAUGCACCAGAUCAGAGGCUGAGAAACUGCAGAGCUCAGUGACAUCACAAGGGUGAGGCCCUCGGGCCCCAGGGCUUUCAGAGCACAGGAAGGUUCAGUGCUGAGUCUGACUACUCAGAGCUCCAGAGUAGGCUUUCUUGAUGCUGCAACCAUCACCAGCACACAGUGGGCUGCCGAAAAGUGUCUGCACCUACCCAGUGAGGACAGGGUGCAGGGGCUCGUCCUCAGUGCUAGACUUCACAAGCCAGGGCUGUGUCUUCAGAACCGGUGUGGACAAACCUGAGUGGCAUAUCCCAUUCCAAGCUCUAUCUGACAGACCCUCACCCUCACACCUGCUCCCAACCACAGACGCUGUAAAGGCUGGGUACUAACGGGUGACGGAAACCAGUCAAAGAGAAAAGCUGAUUUUGGUGGCUCGCACCCAGGCCUUGCUGUUCAGGCCAGCACAUGCUGACAUGUCACCAAAGCUAA